GAUGAACGCUGGCGGCGUGCCUAACACAUGCAAGUCGAGCGAACAGAUGAGGAGCUUGCUCGUCUGACGUUAGCGGCGGACGGGUGAGUAACACGUGGAUAACCUACCUAUAAGACUGGGAUAACUUCGGGAAACCGGAGCUAAUACCGGAUAAUAUAUUGAACCGCAUGGUUCAAUAGUGAAAGACGGUUUUGCUGUCACUAAUAGAUGGUUCCGCGCCGCAUUAGCUAGUUGGUAAGGUAACGGCUUACCAAGGCAACGAUGCGUAGCCGACCUGAGAGGGUGAUCGGCCACACUGGAACUGAGACACGGUCCAGACUCCUACGGGAGGCAGCAGUAGGGAAUCUUCCGCAAUGGGCGAAAGCCUGACGGAGCAACGCCGCGUGAGUGAUGAAGGUCUUCGGAUCGUAAAACUCUGUUAUUAGGGAAGAACAAAUGUGUAAGUAAAUAUGCACGUCUUGACGGUACCUAAUCAGAAAGCCACGGCUAACUACGUG
rnacentral:rRNA from 1 species